GUAAACACCGGUUCCCGUACAAUCACCGAAGUUAAGCAACGUAUUUUUAGUACCUCGCUGGGUGACCGCUCGGGAAUACCAGUUGCUA